GGCAGCGUGGCCGAGUGGUCUAAGGCGCUGGUUUUAAGCACCAUUCUCUUCGGAGGCGUGGGUUCGAAUCCCACCGCUGCCA
rnacentral:tRNA from 1 species